rnacentral:rRNA from 1 species
GUAGCCGGCUUGGUGUGCCUCUCGUAAAAUCCGACGUCUCAAGCGUCGGCCCGCGAGAGAGACUACCAGGCUUGAGGGUGGAAGAGGUCGACGGUAUCUCCGAGGUAGGGGUAAAAUCCACUGAUCUCGGGAAGACCACCAGUGGCGAAGGCGGUCGGCCAGGACACGCCUGACGGUGAGGGACGAAAGCUGGGGGAGCGAACUGGAUUAGAUACCCAGGUAGUCCCAGCUGUAAACAAUGCAGGCUUGGUGUGAGGGUAGCUACGGGCUACCCUCGUGCCGAAGGAAAACCAUUAAGCCUGCCGCCUGGGGAGUACGGCCGCAAGGCUGAAACUUAAAGGAAUUGGCGGGGGAGCACCACAAGGCGUGGACGUUGCGGCUCAAUUGGAGUCAACGCCGGAAACCUUACCGGGAGCGACAGCAGGAUGAUGGCCAGGUUGAAGGCCUUGCCUGACAAGCUGAGAGGAGGUGCAUGGCCGUCGCCAGUGCGUGCCGUGAGGUGUCCUGUCAAUUCAGGCAA